GUCAUAACAUCUACCUGCAUGCCAAAUUUCAGUCCGAUCCGUCCAGUGGUUUGGGCUGUGCGUUGAUAGAUCACUAUGUCAGUCAAAGGAGACAGCACGACGCAGGAGAACGGUGUAGAGAGAGACAAAAGAUGUGUGAUUUCUCACCGGAAACGGGAUUGGUAACCAAGAGAACAAAAAAGAAAUCGAGAGCGACAGAAAAAGAGUUGGGUGGAUGAUAGGCAGUGGCGGGACCUACAUGGAGAAGAAAGGCGUUGGGCAGAGGAGCCUGGAGUCUUGGAGGAGGCCUAUGUCUUGGAACAAGCUGAUGAUCUUCAGCACAGAGGCUAUAAAUA